CACAGCUAGCUUGUUUUGUUUCCCUCUCUCUCUUAUUGCGAACGGGAACCCUCUUUCGUUCUCCUUGAGACGUGCGAGCUUCGAGUGUUUGGGUAAUGGCUUCAACGGACGUCAGAGGAAUUUUGACCGCUUUCAAUCCUUCUCAGGACUUCUUCGCUAUCACUGCCGGAGACGGUCGCGUCAAGAUAUGGGACACGCUGAGUGGCCAGGUCCAGACCGAGUUCGCAGAUAUUGCAUCGACUCAUUCAACAACUACGUCACAGAAUAAAUCUAUUAACGGCCAUCUUGCACUAGAUUAUACCUGCAUCAAGUGGUUCUCCUUCGAAAGAAAGAGGAAACGGAAGCAUGUAUCCUCGUUGUUAGUACUUGGAACUGGUAGUGGUGAUGUUCUCGCACUUGAUGUUGAUGCUGGUCAUUUGAGUUGGAGAAUUACUGACUGUCAUCCCGGAGGUGUGAGAGCGAUUGCAUCUUCAGCAAACGUGUCAAGCAUUUAUACAGCUGGUGCAGAUGGGAUGGUAUGUGCGAUAGAUUUCAUGACAGGAAACCUGUUGGAGAAAUUUAAGGCUUCUACCAAGGCGGUGUCCUGCAUGUGUGUUUCUCCGGAUGGGAAGACAUUAGCUACUGCAGCUGCACAAUUGAAGAUUUUUAAUUGCUCUGAUCACAAAAAGAUUCAAAAGUUCUCUGGUCAUCCUGGUUCUAUUCGAUGCAUGGUUUUCACUGAAGAUGGCAAGUAUAUCCUCUCGUCCGCUGUUGGUGAAAGAUAUGUUGCUGUUUGGAGGGUAGAUGGUCCUAAAACGCAGUCAGCUAGUUGUGUUCUUGCGAUGGAGCAUCCUGCUGUCUUUCUUGAUAGCAGGUGCAUUGAUAGUGCGGAGGAUGACAUGCCUGGCAUAUGUGUUUUGGCCAUUUCAGAAAUUGGCAUUUGUUAUUUAUGGUUUGGUAAUAGUAUUGAAGAACUGCGUAAUGCAAAAGCCACAAAAAUAUCAUUAUCUUUAGAAGACAUGCCCUCCAGAAAUUAUAGAGGAACUCUGCCAGCAAUAUAUGCUGCAAAAUUACAAGGCAUCCAGAAGCCAGCCUCUGGGCAAGUUUUUCUUGUUUAUGGGUUGCUUGUAAAGCCAUCAUUCAGAAAAAUUCUUGUGCAUUCUGGUACAGAUGUAAAGUUGAAUGUCUCUCGUGAUGGUGUUCUUCUACCAACUAGUCAAGCUCUUGUCAAAUCUAAGAAGGGAGCAAAUGCACAAACAGUUACUGCCCUAGACCGAGCUAAUGCUGAGGAUGCCUUGCUUCCGAUUCCUAAGGUUUUUGAUUCCCAUGAAAACGAGAAAGAGAAAGCAUUUCAAAAACCUUUGGACAAGGAUAUAAUUGAUGAUUUGUGGAGAAGUACUAAUGAUGAUUCUGUUGAGACGGAAGAAGAUAUGGCCCAUAGUGAGGCUGAUGACCUUUGCAUGGAGGACCUGCUAAAAACACUAGGGAUGCUUUCCAGUGAAAGUGAAUAUGCAUCAAACAUUAAACUUUGCUCUAAGUUGUUGAAGGGUAUUGAUGUGGAAGCUACUGUUCCAGUGAAAAAGAUCCAUUCAUUAGAUAAGAGCAGCUGUUUUGUCUAUGGAGCCAAGCAAAGCAUUCAUGCUACUGGAAGCGUUACUGACUGCAUGGGAAUCAAGGUCAUCUAGUGGAAAGUACAUUCUUCCAUGGAUAUACAGCAUAUUAGUGAAUCAUGCUCAAAAUGUCAUUGCUGAGGGAUCUGAUACACGUACGCUUGAUACCUUAGAGAGGAUUAGCAAUUUUAGAGGGGCAGCUCUUCAGCCUUUGUUACAAUUAUCAGGUCGUCUCCAACUGGUGACAUCACAGAUUGACAAAGCCUCUCAGACUAUAAGCCAUUCGGGGCAUGAACUCCAAGCGGAAGAAAGUGAAGAAGAUGAAGAUGAAACUAAGGAUGAAUAUUAUCACGAGGGAGAUGAUACUUCUGAAAUAAGUACUGAUGAUGAAAGCUAGUCUCAUUUUUCAUUUUUUUGAGAGGUUGACCCUUUUGCGGCUAACAAAGAUAGAGGAAUUGCGGCCGACAGAGAUAUAGAGGAAUGGAAACUGUAUUUCAUCCAGCCUUUCACAAUUUUGUUGCUAUAUAGAUAGAUAACUCCUCAGAAAGAAAUUUUGGUGUUACCCACAGAAUUAUUGAAAAUGACGCUGCCCCUAAUUUAUGUAAUUUCAGUUUUUUUACCGAUAAGUAAAAGUAGACGAACAUAGCUCGGACAUAUAUUUACAUGUUUGAAGACAUACUCAGCUUAUAAUGAUUAGGAGUUUGUAUAAACCGGAUCUAGGACAUCUUUGAAUAUACAGUUAUCUACCUGAACAUGUAUCUUUCGCUCUCACGAAACGAAUCCAGAAUACAUUUUUCUAGCA